UACAGAGGAUGCAAGCGUUAUCCGGAAUGAUUGGGCGUAAAGCGUCUGUAGGUGGCUUUUUAAGUCCGCCGUCAAAUCCCAGGGCUCAACUCUGGACAGGCGGUGGAAACUACCAAGCUGGAGUACGGUAGGGGCAGAGGGAAUUUCCGGUGGAGCGGUGAAAUGCGUAGAGAUCGGAAAGAACACCAACGGCGAAAGCACUCUGGGCAGAUACUGACGCUGAGACGCGAAAGCGUGGGUAGCAAACAGG
rnacentral:rRNA from 1 species